AGGUCAAGCUACAAAGGGCGCAUGGUGAAUGCCUUGGCAUCAGGAGCCGAUGAAGGACGUGAUAAGCUGCGAUAAGCUUCGGGUAGGCGCACAUAGCCUGAGAUCCGAAGAUCUCCGAAUGAGGAAACUCACAUGGGAAACCCCAUGUAUCAUUAAGUGAAUACAUAGCUUAAUGAAGGUAACCCAGGGAACUGAAACAUCUAAGUACCUGGAGGAAGAGAAAGAAAAAUCGAUUUUCUUAGUAGCGGCGAGCGAAAGGGAAAGAGCCCAAACCGGAAACUUGUUUCCGGGGUUGUGGACAUAACAUAAAAGUGGAGGCUAUUGUAACUGAAGAGAACUGGAAAGUUCCACCGUAGAAGGUAAUAGUCCUGUAAGUGAAACGAGAAGACCACGAGUUAUGAUCCAGAGUACCACGAGACACGUGAAACCUUGUGGGAAGCAGGGAGGACCACCUCCCAAGGCUAAAUACUACCUGAUGACCGAUAGUGAAGCAGUACCGUGAGGGAAAGGUGAAAAGAACCCCGGGAGGGGAGUGAAAUAGAACCUGAAACCGUGUGCCUACAACCGCUCAGAGCCCCUUAUGAGGGUGAUGAGGUGCUUUUUGUAGAACGAGCCAACGAGUUACGGUAUGUAGCAAGGUUAAGUACUUAAGGUACGGAGCCGAAGGGAAACCGAGUCUGAAUAGGGCGACUAGUUGCAUGCCGUAGACCCGAAACCGGGUGACCUAUCCAUGGCCAGGUUGAAGCGAGGGUAAAACCUCGUGGAGGACCGAACCACGUUGCUGUUGAAAAAGCAUGGGAUGAGCUGUGGAUAGCGGAGAAAUUCCAAUCGAACCCGGAGAUAGCUGGUUCUCUCCGAAAUAGCUUUAGGGCUAGCGUCGAGUAUGAGUAGUGGAGGUAGAGCACUGAAUGGGCUAGGGGGCAUAGCGCUUACCGAACCUUAUCAAACUCCGAAUGCCACAUACUUUGAGCUCGGCAGUCAGACUACGAAUGAUAAGAUCCGUGGUCAAAAGGGAAACAGCCCAGAUCGUCAGCUAAGGUCCCAAAGUGUAAGUUAAGUGGGAAAGGAUGUGAGAUUUCUAAGACAACUAGGAUGUUGGCUUAGAAGCAGCCAUUCAUUAAAAGAGUGCGUAAUAGCUCACUAGUCGAGAGAUCUUGCGCCGAAAAUGUAACGGGGCUAAACUUACCACCGAAGCUACGGGCUUGAACUUAGUUCAAGCGGUAGGAGAGCGUCGUAACCGGGCUGAAGUCGUACCGUAAGGAGCGGUGGACUGGUUACGAGUGAGAAUGUUGGCAUCAGUAGCGAGAUGUGGGUGAGAAUCCCACAGGCCGAAAACCUAAGGUUUCCUCAGGAAGGUUCGUCCGCUGAGGGUUAGUCGGGACCUAAGCCGAGGCCGAAAGGCGUAGGUGAUGGACAACUGGUUGAUAUUCCAGUACCACUACCAUCGUUAUUAUCGAUGGCGUGACGCAGGAGGAUAGUGUGUGCUAGCUAUUGGAUGCUAGUCUAAGCGUUUAGGCAGUGAGAGUAGGCAAAUCCGCUCUCAUAAUGCUGAGGCGUGAUGGGGAAGGUUCUACGGAAC
rnacentral:rRNA from 1 species